AUCCCCAGGAAACUUCCUGUAUUUUCAUAACCCGGAUGAGAAGCCGUUGAUAAAAAGAGUGUGUGGGCGCCAGCAGGGAAGGUGACAUUAGCGACAACUCAGAGGAAGAGGAAGUCAAUCAGCAGAGCGAGAGAGAGAGGACAAUAGCGUGGCAUGAGAGGAAAGCCAAGCAGGGAAAGCGGGAGUAAAAACACACACACGCUACGUUAUUUCUGUCAGCAGGUCAUGACGGAGUGCAGGACUGCACAAGCAUGGAUCUGUCCUCACUUAGGGAUGGCAUGUGUCUGCUCAUUAAAGUGCAUUUGCAUGUGUGUGUGCACUCACGUGUAGGAGUGUGAUGUGGGAUCAAAGGGCUGUCUUAUUUGCACCUGGUAGGGCCAUGCAGCAGUGACUCAGCAAUGACGAGUGGUUGUGGCUGUGUUCCCUGUCACACAGCUCAAAGUUGUGUUAACCUUUAAGACAAAAGGCUGUGACGCGUGUGGGCUUCUGCUAAUCCGGUGAGGAAAACCAUCUGAAUGUCAUGUAUUCUUCCAGCAGCUAUUGAAAUCAGAUUUAACACGUGCGGUUUAGGUCUCUCAGGAAACCAUUCAGCAAGUCUAAUCGAAUUGUAGGGGAAAUUUUGGUCACUGGGAGUUAUCCGGCAAUCAAUUGCUAGAACAAAACUGCUUAUCCAGUUCACGGUCAUGGGGUUCGGGGGGAGGAGGACUUGGGCAGGUCACCAGUUUAUGUCCCAAUGUGGCUGACAUGUCCUCACUUUUUUUGAAAAUAUCCAAUGGCCAUGAAUUCAAUGUUCAGCCACUACAAAGCAAAGAGGAAUGAAUGCAUCGCUGGGGUACCCGUUGUCCUAGAAUUUUUUAUUUCAGUUUACUGACCUUGUCAGAGCAUAUUUCUCUGAAAUACCUUUGUUUUUGUUGUUGUUGCAUUGGUGCAUUUAUUUAAAGGAGGCCAUCUUUCACACAAACAUGGGUGAAAUUAGAGAUAGGUCAAUAAGCUAGCUGUGCUGGAGGUCACUACAAAGGGAGUAUGUUGUAGGUCAGUAUUUAAAACCUGCAAAACAAGAUGGAUUGCCAUGAAAUUUUAUUUUGACAUUUAUGAUCCCCUGAUAAAGUAUUUGAAUGUCUUUAGUAAUCCUCUGAAUUUACCUCUAGCUCCAGCAGAUGCCAAGAGAAACCACUCUGGUGGGACUUUUGUCAGAGAUUCAUCGAUCAUUUAGUUAAACUUUAAGUUCAUCUAUUACUUUGGCUUAUGACACAUUAUUUAUUUUUUAUUUAUUUUUAACUUUAUUUGCAAAUAAAAUGCUUUCUCGUGUGCUUCAGCUGUACUUUAUGUUUAGCGGUAUAGGCCAAAUGUUAGCAUGCUAACAUGCUAAAUUAAAACUGAUACGUUCACAUGACACCUGCAAAUCACAGUAAACACGUAAACGUCUACGGGAAAUCUACGU